GCUCAGUAGUCUUCAGCAAGAUGUAAAUUCUGAAGCAGCAAGUGUAUCACAUGUGGGGACAUUCGACAGUGAAUGAAGGUCCCACUUAAGAAAGAACCAGACAAGGAUAAGGUGUACAGAAAUAUCCUGAUGGCUUGUAAAGUCAUACAUCCUAAAGCAUGCAUUAACUGUGUGUUCUGCUCUGAAAAUGUUGAGUGGAAAGUGGGGGAAAGAGGAGGAAACACACAAACAAACCAGCAAACAACAGCCUGUAUCUUCUCUGAAAUGAGAAAGAAGGUUCUCAGGGAUGUCCUGUGUAAGACAACACAGAAACAGCAGAACUUCACCUCACAAUGAAAUCUUAACUUAAUUCUGCACUGCUUUAAUUAAUGAUGAUGGGACAGCUGCACAUCAGCUGCUGAGGCAAACAUCUUUCAGCCCAGCAUUUUGUGAUACACCUGAGGCAGCUGCUUUCACAGCCUUCUCUGUUCUGCUGUGUGUUUGUUUAUUUAGUACAGCUGAGCAUUCCCAGGUUUGAAGCUCAUUUUGCAUAUGGUGACAGAUGUGCCUUUUGAUGCUGAGGUCAUUAACUCAGUGUUAGAAAAGGAACAAAGGAAGAUGGCAGCUGAGCAACCUCAUGUUUUAACAUAAUCAGCUGUAUUUAAAAUCUGCUCUGUUGUGCUGUGGGAGGAAAAGAAGGUCAACUAUUGUUUUAUUUAUAUGACAUCUCUACAAUGUAUAUAUAUCCAAUUCUGAAUGGAUAUUUCAGUUCUUUAUGCUGAAAUAUCCAGAAAUAAACAGUGUCUCUUAAUUUGCUAGGAUGCAAGGAAAUGUCUUUCUAAAGAUUGAUGCAGUUUUCCCAUUUAUGUUGUGAAAUUACUUCCAGUGACAUCACAUCAGAUGCUUCUUCACCAAGUGGUCUUUGGCUGUCACUGCAAAUCUGCCCUUUGAGCAUCUCCUUGUGAUUCAGAGAACAUGGAAAAAGUGAGAAAGUGUGGUCAAAGGCAUUCUGCCUGAGAAGGAGCUUCUGUAUAUAAAACUUUGUGUAUGGAAUAAAUCUGGCUUUUCUAAGAAUACUGGAAAACGUUAGCCACUCCUUAUGCUGUGCAGCAACCACACCUGGCAUGCACUGGACCAUCUUCAGUAAUUCCACUCUCCUCAUCUUUUCUUAUAUUUUUUCCAUUUCAGCAAUGUCAUCUGGUCAUGGAGUGUAAAUGAAGUCCAUAUAUCAUUUUAAGACCAAGGCAGUUAUAGCACAGAGAUCAACAGGGUUGAAGUUUCAUGUUCAUGCUAUCCAAGUGCUACCAUCCAAAUGGUAACUGAACCUUUUGGCACGUGUGCAGAUAAAUUAGGGACCUGGAGGGGAGAUGUAAGCCUGGAAAGAUUGUUUGUGUUUGACCUUAUUGCACUGGUUCAGGAUGUGAUAUAACAGAAACAUGUGCUCCACCUCAUGUCAUUAGGAGGGAAAUGGAAAUUUAUUUUAACUCUGACGCUUUCUGUGCUCAUCUAUUGGCAAACAAUUUGCUGCAAGUUCACCAUGGAAAUAAACUAGAUGCCUCAGUCAUUCAGAACUCAGAAUAUUUAGGAAAAAGAGUUAUUUUGCAUGGGCAACUGUCUGACUGCAAAAUGGCAACAGAAAACAUGAACUACAAAUUGUUUCAUUUCAGUCUACUCAAACAUAAGAGUGAAACUUCUGUGGCAGUGUAAUUGAAUUGAAGGCCAAACUCUUCCUAAAAUGAAAAGAGAGAAUACUGAAUACAUUAGUACUGUAUCAAGAUAUAAGCACCAAGUGAGAAAAAGCAAAACUCUCAGCCUAGACCUGGUCUCAGCUCCAUUUAGUGUCUGAGGGAGUAAAGUGUUGAGAUUCUACCAGUUGGAAAUGUGAGACAGGGUAGGCCCUGCAGAAAAAGGAUUUCAGAUAGCUCAAGAAAAGCCUUCAAAAAAAUUCUUGUGAGAAUUAAUGGGAAUAUAUUAACUGCCUUAUAAUCCUGCUUUACAGCUGUAUGCUUUUUCUUUUUGCAGAGAUAGGCCUGUCUGACUGUCUCAUACUGGUGUAGCAGUGGAGCACUGAAACAAACUAGAUGCCUCAGUCAUUCAGAACUCAGAGUAUUUAGGAAAAAGAUCGUCUCACUAUUACAGUGUGAUCCAUGUAUUGAGGAUCCAAUUGGACAUUUUUGUUCUGGAAAAACACCUCAGGUACUCUGUUUUAUAAAAAGCGAGGGAGAGAGAACAAGAAGUGCCUAGGAGGCCCUCAAAACCUUUUCAACUGCAAUUACAGACAAUUUCUCUACAGGCUGUUUCUUUCUAGAGCUAUGCUUCAUUUUAAUGCUAAGGGGAAAAUUGUAACCUUAAUUCUAGCAAUAAUGGGAUGCAUGAACAAACAUCUACAUCCAUGUAGGUCAGGUGCCCCAGUUUCCAAGUAAGUGUGCUUUUCAUUAAUACCAAAUUACAUCCUUUGCUACUACUUAAGUACUCAAGUAAAACAGUAUUAAGUAGACCACGCAAUUAUGAAGGAGAAGAAAAGAAAAUUCAGGAUACUCUAACAGUAAAUAAAUAAAUAAAAAUUGGUUUCUACUAGUAGAGGAUUUUUUACUAUUCAAAAAUGCGUAUGAUUGUAUUCAGUACCCACUGCACCAAAAUACUGUUGUUUGGAUCUAAUUUGAUAGCUAUAGCUCUGUAUUUGUAGGCAGGAGUGUAUAAAAGUAACACUUUAACCCUUUGAAUUUAUAGUCAAUGAUGCAGAAGAAUAUAACAGAGAAUCAGAGGAGGUUCGCUGCAAGGAAAACUCAGUUACAAUAACAUUGGGGAAUAUGUUACAAUUUGUCAUGUGAAAAUGCUAAUUGUACGUUUUGAAAGUCAAAUAGAUGCUACAUUCAGACUAGUAUUAUCAAGAUAGAGAAGUUUAACAAGUCAAGUGGUGAUGAGAAGUUAAAUUUUUUGCAUUUUUAAUUGCCCAAUUAAUAUGAUUGCAGAAAUGCUAUCAAAAAGAAAUGCUACGUUCUACACAAUGUUUAUCUGCAUUCUGA